GGUCCCAUAGCUCAGUUGGUUAGAGCGUAACGCUAAUAACGUUAAAGUCGAGGGUUCGAGCCCCUCUGGGACCA
rfam:Aspergillus aculeatus ATCC 16872 unplaced genomic scaffold ASPACscaffold_4, whole genome shotgun sequence.